rnacentral:rRNA from 1 species
GAGCGAACGCUGGCGGCAGGCUUAACACAUGCAAGUCGAGCGGGCACUUCGGUGUCAGCGGCAGACGGGUGAGUAACACGUGGGAACGUACCCUUUGGUUCGGAAUAACGCUGGGAAACUAGCGCUAAUACCGGAUACGCCCUUUUGGGGAAAGGCUUGCUGCCGAAGGAUCGGCCCGCGUCUGAUUAGCUAGUUGGUGGGGUAAUGGCCUACCAAGGCGACGAUCAGUAGCUGGUCUGAGAGGAUGAUCAGCCACACUGGGACUGAGACACGGCCCAGACUCCUACGGGAGGCAGCAGUGGGGAAUAUUGGACAAUGGGCGCAAGCCUGAUCCAGCCAUGCCGCGUGAGUGAUGAAGGCCUUAGGGUUGUAAAGCUCUUUUGUCCGGGACGAUAAUGACGGUACCGGAAGAAUAAGCCCCGGCUAACUUCGUG